GUCCACGCUGUAAACGAUGUGUGCUAGACGUUGGGGAGCCUAGCUCUUCGGUGUCGCAGCUAACGCGGUAAGCACACCGCCUGGGGAGUACGGCCGCAAGGUUAAAACUCAAAGGAAUUGACGGGGGCCCGCACAAGCGGUGGAGCAUGUGGUUUAAUUCGACGCAACGCGAAGAACCUUACCAGCCCUUGACAUGUCCCGUAUGGUCCGUGGAGACGCGGUCCUUCAGUUCGGCUGGCGGGAACACAGGUGCUGCAUGGCUGUCGU
rnacentral:rRNA from 1 species